UCUUCCGUAGUAUAGUGGUCAGUAUGUGAGCUUGUCAUCCUCCGACAUCGCUCGAGACCCGGGUUCAAUUCCCGGCGGGAGAG
rnacentral:tRNA from 1 species